AUUUUGCACCUGAGUCUGACAUCGUAGAAGGACCAUUCUGGUAUCAGAUUGGAUUUUGCACCUGACCCUAACAUCGUAGAAGGACCAUUCUUGCAUCAGAUUGUUAGUAUUAAGUUUUAUUAUCUUAAAUAACUUUUAUUACUUUCAUUUAUGACGAUGCCCUCAGGGCGAAACAUGUCAAACUCAUUAUAUAAAAUUGUAAAAUCCAAUAAAAAUCACGUUGACAUUUAAUAAAUAAAUAAAUAACUUUUGUGAUUAUUACACAAAUUGACUCCCAAAAUGUAUGCUUCUGUGUUUUCUUUAAUAAAGAAUAUGUUUAAGUUUUUCUAAUUAAAA